rnacentral:lncRNA from 1 species
AAUUAGACCCACGAGUACCCAUGAUGACCUGGAGCACGUGUGCUUUCACCAUCCAGGCAAUUGAAAACCUUUUGGGAGAUGAAGGAAAACCUCUAUUUGGAGCACUUCAAAAUAGACAGCAUAAUGGUCUGAAAGCGUUAAUGCAAUUUGCAGUUGCACAGAGGACUACCUGUCCUCAGGUCCUGAUACAGAAACAUCUGGUUCGACUCCUAUCAGUUGUUCUUCCUAACCUACAAUCAGAAAAUACACCAUGCCUUCUAUCCGUUGAUCUAUUUCAUGUUCUGGUAAGUGUUUAGUAAAAUGAUUUAGAAGUCAUUAAGCUUAUAAUUUCAUGUUUUUUUCUUAAUAAAUUCAUGUUUUCUGUUCAAAAUAAUA